GACGAACGCUGGCGGCAUGCUUAACACAUGCAAGUCGAACGGAAAGUUCCUGCUUUUGUGGGGUGCUCUAGUGGCGAACGGGUGAGUAACACGUGAGUAACCUGCCCUUGACUUUGGUAUAACUUCAGGAAGGUGGGUCUAAUACCGGAUAGGAUCUCCUGCUUCAUGGUGGGGGUUGGAAGGUUUAGGCGGUUGGGGAUGGACUCGCGGCUUAUCAGGUUGUUGGUGGGGUAGUGGAUUAGCAAGACUUUGACCGGUAGCAGGCCUGAGAGGGUGACAGGCCAAAUUGGGCCUGAGAUACGGCCCAGACUCGUACGGGACGCAGGAGUGGGGAAUAUUGCACAAUGGGCGGAAGCCUGAUGUAGCAAAGCCGCGUGCGGGAUGACGGCCAUCGCGUUGUAAACCACUUUUGCCUGUGACGAAGCGUGAAUGACGGUAAUGGGUAAAGAAGCACCGGCUAACUACGUG
rnacentral:rRNA from 1 species